AUUGAACGCUGGCGGCAGGCCUAACACAUGCAAGUCGAACGAGUGGCGGACGGGUGAGUAAUGUCUGGGAAACUGCCUGAUGGAGGGGGAUCACUACUGGAAACGGUAGCUAAUACCGCAUACCAUCGGAUGUGCCCAGAUGGGAUUAGCUAGUCGUGGGGGAAAAGGCUCACCUAGGCGACGAUCCCUAGCUGGUCUGCGAGGAUGACCAGCCACACAGGAACUGAGACACGGUCCAGACUCCUACGGGAGGCAGCAGUGGGGAAUAUGGCACAAUGGGCGCAAGCCGGAUGCAGCAAUGCCGCGUGUAUGAAGAAGGCCUUCGGGUUGUAAAGUACUUUCAGCGGGGAGGCGUUACCCGCAGAAGAAGCACCGGCUAACUCCGUGCCAGCAGCCGCGGUAAUUC
rnacentral:rRNA from 1 species